GGGGGUGUAGCUCAGUGGUAGAGCACUUGCCUAGCAUGUGAGAAGCCUUCGCUUCCAUCCUCA
rnacentral:tRNA from 1 species